AACGAACGCUGGCGGCGUGGAUAAGACAUGCAAGUCGAACGGGAUAACAUCUGUAGCAAUACAGGUGUUAUUUAGUGGCGAACGGGUGCGUAACACGUGGGCAAUCUGCCGAGAAGUGGGGGAUAGCUCGCCGAAAGGCGAAUUAAUACCGCAUAUGAUCAGUGAAGACAUCUUCACGACAUCAAAGCCGGGGUAACCUGGCGCUUCUUGAUGAGCCCGCGGCCAUCAGCUAGUUGGUGAGGUAACGGCUCA
rnacentral:rRNA from 1 species